rnacentral:rRNA from 1 species
UACGUAGGGGGCGAGCGUUGUCCGGAAUUACUGGGCGUAAAGGGCGUGUAGGCGGCUGUGUAUGUCAGGUGUGAAAAGCCAGAGCUUAACUGUGGCAUUGCACAUGAAACUGCGCAGCUUGAGUGCAGGAGAGGGAAGUGGAAUUCCUAGUGUAGCGGUGAAAUGCGUAGAUAUUAGGAGGAACACCAGUGGCGAAGGCGACUUCCUGGACUGUAACUGACGCUGAGGCGCGAAAGCGUGGGUAGCGAACAGGAUUAGAUACC